UACGUAGAAGACUAGUGUUAUUCAUCUUUAGUAGGUUUAAAGGGUACCUAGACGGUAUUACUAGCCCAAAACAGGGUACGGUUUUACUAGAGUUUUAUAUGAGAAGGGGAGUAUUUAUGGAGUAGAGAUAAAAUUCUUUGAUCCCAUAACGACUGGUAGCGGCGAAAGCAACCUUCUAUCUAAUAACUGACGUUGAGGGACGAAGGCCUGGGUAGCCAACAGG
rnacentral:rRNA from 1 species